UUGUGCUUACUUCAACUCCACUAUACUAAAAUUGAAACCAUACAGAGAAGAUUAGCAUGGCCUCUGAGCAAGGGUGACACGCAAAUUUGUGAAGCAAUCCAUAUUUUU
ensembl:snRNA U6 U6 spliceosomal RNA